rnacentral:tRNA from 1 species
GGAAACGUGCCCGAAAAAUAAGGACCUCCUUGAUAGGGAGGGUCAUAGGGGUUUAAAUCCCCUCGCUUCCU